CCUACGGGAGACAGCAGUGAGGAAUAUUGGUCAAUGGACGAGAGUCUGAACCAGCCAAGUAGCGUGAAGGAUGACUGCCCUAUGGGUUGUAAACUUCUUUUAUAAAGGAAUAAAACGAGGCACGUGUGCCUGUUUGCAGGUACUUUAUGAAUAAGGAUCGGCUAAACCCGUGCCAGCAGCCGCGGGAAUACGGAGGAUCCGAGCGUUAUCCGGAUUUAUUGGGUUUAAAGGGAGCGUAGAUGGGUUGUUAAGUCAGUUGUGAAAGUUUGCGGCUCAACCGUAAAAUUGCAAUUGAUACUGGCAGUCUUGAGUACAGUUGAGGUAGGCGGAAUUCGUGGUGUAGCGGUGAAAUGCUUAGAUAUCACGAAGAACCCCGAUUGCGAAGGCAGCUUACUAACCUGUGACUGACAUUGAUGCUCGAAAGUGUGGGUAUCAAACAGGAUUAGAUACCCGUGUAGUC
rnacentral:rRNA from 1 species